ensembl:lncRNA
CAAGGGAUCUUAUAUCUGUUUUCACUCUUGUAUGCUUUUCAUACAAGUUUCACACAAGACAGAUACAAACUUUAUAAGAUUUAUAUAUAUCUUUUCCAUAUGGGUAGAGCCGGCUCCUUGAAGUGAAUAACGGAAGCCGGCUCCUUAUUGGGAGCCAUGUGUUUUUUUUCUUUCUCUCACCCUCUCUCUUUCUUUUUUUUUACUUCACGCCGCUUGUGAUUGGCCAAUAUGUGUUUGUGCCUUGUGUUUGCGCUGAGCAGAGGGGGAAGGGGUGGUAGUUACACUCACAGCAGCAGUAGCACAUGAACAGUGCAGGAGGAAGAGAGAGAAAGAGAGCCAGGGGCAACAACAAGAGUCAACAUUGACACGUUAGAAAGAGUCGCGGGAGCACUGGAGCCUGUGCCAGCUGUCUUAGGCGCUACAUCCAGAUGAACAGAAUCAACGUCUUGGGAUAAAGAAGUGACAGGAGAAGCAGCCUUCAGCCAUACCAGCCCAGCGCUGCUCCUGACGAAGGAAAGACCAAUUCUGCAGGGGAGACCUACCUUGGCACUUGUGCAGGUGAAACCAAAGG